ACAGAUAUAAUGUUUUGAUUUAAUAGGAAACAAGCAACAACCAGCAAAAGUUAUAAUAAGAUUGGUCGUAGCAACAAGCUCAUAUAUGAAUCAUAAACGAGAACCAUCAGAGAAGUGGAUCGAGGUUUUUACAAAUCAGACUACAAGGAGGAUUCUGCAACCUCAGUGAACUGCACACCAUGAACAAGCCCAUGUAACACUCACAGACCACCUUUUGAGUCUGUAAACUAGAAGCCGGUGGAAAA
rnacentral:lncRNA from 1 species